GAAAUAGUUGCUAUGCUGUAUUGUUUAGGCAAUAAUGACGGGGAAAAAAUUACAUCUGUACUGAACAUGUACAGAUAUUUUUUCCCCUGAAUAUUUUCUGUCUCCAGUUGGCUGGAUCCACGGGUGCAGAGCCCGCAGAUGCAGAGGGCUGACUGCACUUUCUUGCGGCAGUCCCAGCCGACUAGCACAGUGCCUCUUGGUAGCAGAUGCUGUCAGUGCCUGCCUGUCUUCUCCAGGCUGCCCCGGGGUCACCUGCAGCUCGUGCACACAGCGUGGCUCUCACCUCAAGCACCGGUGUCUCUGCCUGCAGGCUUUCUCUGAGUGCGGAAGCCAGCCCUGGUGGCCACAGGGGAGGCUGCCAGUGCCCCUGGGAGCAGCCCUCAGCCAGUGAGGGACAAGAGCUGGUCAGAUGCUGGCAUCGUCAAGCUAAAUGGACCAGUAGCUGAUCCUCGACCAAAUGGGAAACUUUGAAGACCAUGCAGGCCCUCAAAAACUGCUGUAGCAUCUCAGGGAGAAGGUGACAUCAGUGAUGAUGAAGACAGCCAACUGGCAAGAGGAAGAAAAUGGUAUUAAUCAGAAUUCUUGGGCACAGGCAGUGGGAAGGCUACCAGUCUGAUGGGACUGCUCCCCACAAAGUAGCAGGGGGGACUGGGCUGUUAUUUCCCAUGAGGCCACAUGAGGCAGGGGACCAUGGGAGAGGAGCCUGGGCUUUUAGGAGGCAGCAGAAGUGAGGGGAGAGAUGAUGGCAGGCUGGGUUGUGGGCAGGAUGGCCUCUCCCAGUGACUCCCCAAGUCUUCUGGUAAGUUACUACACCUCGCAACCCACACAGGGGGCAGGAUUUCUUGUGAAAUGAGUGACAGGGCCAGGGUCCAUGUGCAGCCCAGACUGAGCUGGUGCAGCAGACACAGGCAUGGAGAAGUAAGGUGGGAAUCCUGCUGAGACUGUGGGACGGGGCCUGGCAUCACGCAGGCUGGGAUGCAGGGGUCUAAGGCAGAUUUGCCCAAAUCCCAAGGGACAGAGUGGCAUAGAGCAGACACUGGUCAUUUGUGGCUGCCCAUCAUCCUCCACCUUAGGUAAUUUUCCACAUUUUGAGUUCUGCCUCAUCAAGACCAAAGGAAGAAGGCCCACAUUGCUGGACUCCCUGGCAGUCUAGAACAUAACCUACAAGGUCCUGCAAAAUUGAUGUACCCGUAGAUGGGAGCCUAGUAUUCAGAAGUGGCCACACAAAGGGAACCGGAACCAAGCAUGGUGGCCAAGGAAUUCUGUCCUUCAGGGGUUGCCUAAUGGAGCUCUGGGUACUGGUUCUGUGUGUCUGAGGAGCUUCCUGCAAUGACAGGAGAAGAGUGUUUUCUCAGGAGUCCCCACAGUGUGCUUCCAUGGUCCGCCCAGGGAUUAUGCGACUGAUCUGAUCUCUGAUAAAUUUUUUUCUGCUUAA